AUAGCACAUUCAAGCAUCCCAGUCACACAGGAAGGUUAAAUAUGGUUGACAGUCUCGGAUAUAUAUGAGCUGCUCUGUGAAUGUGAACAGGUUGUUGAAGUUUGAGAACCAAGAACAGAUUUAACUGUAACUGGGGGAUUCAGAAUGUUUCAGGAGAAAAGUCCAGAGGCGGUGUGUAAUGCCUCUCUGAUUCGGAAUGUGUGGGAAAUCAGAACGAAAACAUACACACAGAAAUUGAACACAGAAGAAGAGAGGGUGAAAAAGAGUGCACUGCAACAGAUUAAUCAAGAAUGGCAGAAUCGUAUGGAAUCCAAGAGGAAGGCACCGCCAAGGCUGGAGAGAAAAGCCAGGCACAAUGAGAACACAACACUUCAGAAUUACUUAAAUAAACCAGCUCUCUCUCAUAUGAAUAACACUGAUAUUUUUAACUCCAAGUUUCAGAAUCAAAGGGGGUCACUGUCAAAAAGGGGAAAGUUUAUCAAUGAUAUCUAUCAGGGCCAACCGUCUCUGCAAAUGUGGGGGAAGUCCUGGAAGUUCUCACGACCCAAAUUGCACAUGGAAGAGGAGGGACAAGCAGAAAGUGUAUCAGAUUGGGGUGAGUCAUGGAAGUUCUUGAAUCUCCAACCCAACCUGGAAGAUCAACCUUGGUCAGAGCAGGACUUAUAUGAUGAUGACCUGGAUUUCCAGCUUCAUAAUGACACAACAUUACUAUCAAAGGAGGCCAAGUCAAAUGCAUUCUUGAGUUCCCAGAAUCUUGAGGAGAAUUUGUGUUGUUUUGAAUGGGAACAGUCUUGGAAGUUUCCAAAGCAUCCUAGCCAUGAAAAAGAAUCAUCAUCAGAGGAAGAACAAUAUAAUGGGUCCACAGAUAUUGAAAGCGAUGAGGACAUGUGUCUGUCAUAUGGAAGCAUGCCCUUGGAUUAUGAGAAUGAAAUGUCAGAAUGGAGCGAGUCCUGGAAGGUGCCAAAGCCUGAAGAGACGGAUUCCCAGUCUGUAGAAUCAGAACCUAUGGAAGAUGAGGAUCACGAAGACAAUCUGGAUAAAACAUCUGUUUCUAAGUGGUUUGAGUCCUGGAUGAUUCUGCAUCAUGAGCUGCCUAAAAAGAAAUCUCAGUCCUCUGACUGGAGUGAGUCUUGGAAGCUCUUGCAUGUUCCAUCACAACAAGAAAAAAACAGUCACACAGAUCAAGGCUUGUCUGACGAGUCAUCACAUAUUCAUGAUUUUGAGAGGAUGCUUCCACCAAAAGGGAACAAGAUAAACAUAUUACUGACUUCCCAAGAUUUCUCAGUUUCUGAAUGGAGUGGAUCCUGGGAGAUCACAAAGCCCCAAGUGCAGGCUCUCCCCCAGAAUGAUCAGAGACAUGAAUCAGAAAAAGAUGAGUCAAUGAAAGGAAUGUCAGAGAGCAUUUUAGAUUUUCAAUCUGAAAAGGAGAGUUGGAAACUCAAGAGCAAGUAUAGACAGUUUCUGAGUCCCCAGGUCUUCUGUGAUGAGUUGUCUACAUCUGAAUGGGGUGAGUCUUGGAAGUAUUUUAAGCAUCAGUCUUUCCAGGAUAUUCACACAGAUGAAUUCUUUAUUAACCAGAUGGACAAGAAGAGAUCUCUUUCUGACUGGAGCGAGUCCUGGAAAUUCUCCCAGAAGAGAUUGUGUAAUGAUAAACCAUCUUUUACAGAGUGGGAAAACUCAUGGUUUUUCACAUCUGAGCCGUAUAUUUGCAAGGCACUGUUAAUACAAGAAAACAGGCCAAAUGACCACUUGGAUUUACUCCCUGGCAAUAGUACAUUUCUGUCUAAGAGUGUCAAGUUCAGAAACUUAUUAAAUUCUAUGCUCCACAAGGACAGGCCAUCUCUUUCAGAGUGGAGUGACUCUUGGAAAAUCACAAAUCUCGAGAUUUCCCAGCAAACCGAGUUCGAGGAAUCCUUGGAAAUCCAGAACUACAAUGAGAUGAUGUUUAACUUUAAAGCUGAAAAGUGCAGAAUAUUCCGUGCAUCCCACACACAUGAAGAGAAACUAUCUUUGGAAAAAUGGGGUGAGUCCUGGAAAUUUGCAAAACGUCAGCACCCCAGGGAUGGAGCGAUUUUAUCAAAAAAAUGUAAGGUCAUUAACUUCCAGAAUUCAGAAUGGGCUUCUUCCUGGAAGUUCUUAAACCUUACACUCAACCAGAAGAAAGAUUGUUGGGAGAAAAGCUGGACCAAUGUGGCAGAGAUCUGCCGUGAAAAUCCAUCAAAAUGGGGAAAGCCCUGGAAGAUAUCAAAUCCUCAGCCACCCAUGGAGAAUGGAUCCUGGUUAAAAGCUGAGGAUUUCCAUCACCAAAAUCAAUUAAUAAUCCUGGCAAAAGGCAGGUGCAGAAAAUUCUUAUUUUCUCAACUAGAGACAAAUAGGCAAUCUCUGAGAUUGUGGUCCCAUUCCUGGAAGUUAUUGAAACGACAUGCAGAUAACAAGACAAAAGCUGGGAAAAGUAGUUCUCAGGAUUCCUCUGACUUGUAUACGCAUAUAAUGUCAAGGAGGAGCAAGGCAAGGAAAGUUUUGAUGACUCCGCUGGAAAAAGAGAAGUUGGCUCCGAGAAAGUGGGGUGAUGCCUGGAGGUUAGCAAAGACACAACCCCGCCAAAGGAGAGGAUCUUAUUUAAAGACAAGCAAGGAAACUAUGAAGGAGGACAAAGCACAUCUUGCUGACUGGAGCAAGUCUUGGAAGUUUUUAUACACUCAGCAAACUGAAGAAAAAUCAUUUAUGCCAGAAUGGGAAGAGUCCUGGAAAUACUUACUUACCCAUCAACAAGAGAGAGAAGGAGAGCGAUCAAAAUAAAGGCUAAUUCAAAUAGUCUGUGACUGGCUGAAAAAACCACUGGCAGAGAGAAGAGGGAAAGAUAUCUGAAAUAAAAUGGCCAACCAAAUGGUAUAAUGUUUUUCAGACUGAAAAAUUGCAAGUUGAAGAGAAAAGAUUUAUGAGCCAAACUGACAUUUAUAUUUAUUAACUUAUAUGAUAUAUAUAUGACUAUAAAGCAUUGAAAACCAUGUAUUUGGAUUUAUUAGAACCAAAAACCCAAGCAAUUUUAUGAAAGGCAGUAAGAUCAUAGUUGUAUGUUUGUGUCGUCAAUUAUAUUUACUGUCUAUAAAGCUCAAUAUUAUUAUACAUACUAUAUAAUACACAGGUUUAUAUAAAUGUCCUCAAGUGUCCAUGCAUUAUUUAUUGUUCAGCUGAUACUGGGCCGUGGAACUACAAUGUAAAAAAAUAAAAAUAUGCAAAACUGA